CACAGUGUGUUACAAACAUUUCGUAAGUACAACAAAUCAAUAUUUACAGUGUUCACAAUUAUUUCGUAAUUACAAAAAAUUACAACUAAUAAUUACAAUAAAUCUAUGGAUCACCAUUAAAAUAGAAUAAGUCGCACGCCAACUUAUUCCGCCAACUCUAUAUCCAGGAUUGGUUGAUUCCAUCAACCUUACAUGCUAUACUUAGAAAUUUGAUGUACUUUAUUGCAAAAAUGCCACAAUCGUCCCUGCAAAUGAACAAAAAUAAGUUCGAUCAGUACCGUGUAGCAAAAAAAAUUAAGUAUUAAAUUUUAAAAAAUUUAGAACCACUUACGAUAUUGUCUGCCUCGUUGUAGUUGUGUUCCGCAUGAUGGCUAAUCUGCCCUUCA
rnacentral:lncRNA from 1 species